GCCGGGCAUGGUGGUGCAUGCCUGUAAUCCCAGCUACUCGGGAGGCUGAGGCAGGAGAAUUGCUUGAACCUGGGAGGUGGAGGUUGCAGUGAGCCGAAAUCGCGCCAUUGCACUCCAGCCUGGGUGACAGAGUGAAACUCUGUCUCAA
rnacentral:SRP_RNA from 1 species